rnacentral:rRNA from 1 species
GUGAACGCUGGCGGUAGGCCUAACACAUGCAAGUCGAACGGCAGCACAGUAAGAGCUUGCUCUUACGGGUGGCGAGUGGCGGACGGGUGAGGAAUACAUCGGAAUCUACUUUUUCGUGGGGGAUAACGUAGGGAAACUUACGCUAAUACCGCAUACGACCUACGGGUGAAAGCAGGGGAUCUUCGGACCUUGCGCGAUUGAAUGAGCCGAUGUCGGAUUAGCUAGUUGGCGGGGUAAAGGCCCACCAAGGCGACGAUCCGUAGCUGGUCUGAGAGGAUGAUCAGCCACACUGGAACUGAGACACGGUCCAGACUCCUACGGGAGGCAGCAGUGGGGAAUAUUGGACAAUGGGCGCAAGCCUGAUCCAGCCAUACCGCGUGGGUGAAGAAGGCCUACGGGUUGUAAAGCCCUUUUGUUGGGAAAGAAAAGCAGCAGGUUAAUACCCCGCUGUUCUGACGGUACCCAAAGAAUAAGCACCGGCUAACUUCGUG